GAAUGCUGACAUAAGUAACGAUAAAGCGGGUGAAAAGCCCGCUCGCCGGAAGACCAAGGGUUCCUGUCCAACGUUAAUCGGGGCAGGGUGAGUCGACCCCUAAGGCGAGGCCGAAAGGCGUAGUCGAUGGGAAACGGGUUAAUAUUCCCGUACUUGGUGUUACUGCGAAGGGGGGACGGAGAAGGCUAUGUUGGCCGGGCGACGGUUGUCCCGGUUUAAGCGUGUAGGCUGGUUUUCCAGGCAAAUCCGGAAAAUCAAGGCUGAGGCGUGACGACGAGGCACUACGGUGCUGAAGCAACAAAUGCCCUGCUUCCAGGAAAAGCCUCUAAGCAUCAGGUAACAUCAAAUCGUACCCCAAACCGACACAGGUGGUCAGGUAGAGAAUACCAAGGCGCUUGAGAGAACUCGGGUGAAGGAACUAGGCAAAAUGGUGCCGUAACUUCGGGAGAAGGCACGCUGACACGUAGGUGAAGUGAUUUACUCAUGGAGCUGAAGUCAGUCGAAGAUACCAGCUGGCUGCAACUGUUUAUUAAAAACACAGCACUGUGCAAACACGAAAGUGGACGUAUACGGUGUGACGCCUGCCCGGUGCCGGAAGGUUAAUUGAUGGGGUCAGCGCAAGCGAAGCUCCUGAUCGAAGCCCCGGUAAACGGCGGCCGUAACUAUAACGGUCCUAAGGUAGCGAAAUUCCUUGUCGGGUAAGUUCCGACCUGCACGAAUGGCGUAAUGAUGGCCAGGCUGUCUCCACCCGAGACUCAGUGAAAUUGAACUCGCUGUGAAGAUGCAGUGUACCCGCGGCAAGACGGAAAGACCCCGUGAACCUUUACUAUAGCUUGACACUGAACAUUGAGCCUUGAUGUGUAGGAUAGGUGGGAGGCUUUGAAGUGUGGACGCCAGUCUGCAUGGAGCCGACCUUGAAAUACCACCCUUUAAUGUUUGAUGUUCUAACGUGGACCCGUUACCCGGGUUGCGGACAGUGUCUGGUGGGUAGUUUGACUGGGGCGGUCUCCUCCUAAAGAGUAACGGAGGAGCACGAAGGUUGGCUAAUCCUGGUCGGACAUCAGGAGGUUAGUGCAAUGGCAUAAGCCAGCUUGACUGCGAGCGUGACGGCGCGAGCAGGUGCGAAAGCAGGUCAUAGUGAUCCGGUGGUUCUGAAUGGAAGGGCCAUCGCUCAACGGAUAAAAGGUACUCCGGGGAUAACAGGCUGAUACCGCCCAAGAGUUCAUAUCGACGGCGGUGUUUGGCACCUCGAUGUCGGCUCAUCACAUCCUGGGGCUGAAGUAGGUCCCAAGGGUAUGGCUGUUCGCCAUUUAAAGUGGUACGCGAGCUGGGUUUAGAACGUCGUGAGACAGUUCGGUCCCUAUCUGCCGUGGGCGCUGGAGAACUGAGGGGGGCUGCUCCUAGUACGAGAGGACCGGAGUGGACGCAUCACUGGUGUUCGGGUUGUCAUGCCAAUGGCACUGCCCGGUAGCUAAAUGCGGAAGAGAUAAGUGCUGAAAGCAUCUAAGCACGAAACUUGCCCCGA
rnacentral:rRNA from 3 species